rfam:Triticum urartu cultivar G1812 contig986529, whole genome shotgun sequence.
UGCAUACUCUCUCCGUCCGGAAAUACUUGUCCUAGAGCUGGUUGUAUCUAGAUUUAAUUUAGUUAUAAAUACAUCCAUUUUGUCCAUUUCUAGGACAAGUAUUUUUGGACAGAGGGAGUAUAUU